UGGAAGUUAAAGUCGUAACAA
rnacentral:rRNA from 1 species